rnacentral:rRNA from 1 species
GAUGAACGCUGGCGGCGUGCCUAAUACAUGCAAGUCGAGCGAAGCGGGGACGGGUGCGUACCACGUGGAUAACCUCCUAUAAGACUGGGUUAACUUCGGGAAACCGUAGCUAAACCUGAUACUUAUCGAUCGAUCCUCGCUGCAGUAGCUAGUUGGUAAGGUAACGGCUUACCAAGGCAACGAUGCAUAGCCGACCGGAGAGGGUGAUCGGCCACACUGGAACUGAGACACGGUCCAGACUCCUACGGGAGGCAGCAGUAGGGAAUCUUCCGCAAUGGGCGAAAGCCUGACGGAGCAACGCCGCGUGAGUGAUGAAGGUCUUCGGAUCGUAAAACUCUGUUAGUAGGGAAGCGGUACCUAAUCAGAAAGCCACGGCUAACUACGUGCCAGCCGCCGCGGUAAUAC